rnacentral:tRNA from 1 species
AGUUAAAUACUUCUGAAAGUAUUAUGUUUUGAAAGCAUAAUUAAGGGGUUCAAUUCCCCUAUUAACUU